GAGACAGCAGUCGCCACGGUAAUACGAAGGGGGCUAGCGUUGUUCGGAAUUACUGGGCGUAGAGCGCACGUAGGCGGAUAUUUAAGUCAGGGGUGAAAUCCCGCAGCUCAACUGCGGAACUGCCUUUGAUACUGGGUAUCUUGAGUAUGGAAGAGGUUAGUGGAAUUGCGAGUGUAGAGGUGAAAUUCGUAGAUAUUCGCAGGAACACCAGUGGCGAAGGCGGCUAACUGGUCCAUAACUGACGCUGAGGUGCGAAAGCGUGGGGAGCAAACAGGAUUAGAUACCCGGGUAGUCCCUGUCUCUUAUAC
rnacentral:rRNA from 1 species